AUCUAUGUAAUUUAAGAUAGAAUUUUACACUGAAGAUGUAGAUGAGGCAGGGGCCCGUAGAUA
rnacentral:tRNA from 1 species